rnacentral:misc_RNA from 1 species
GACGCGAGUGGGCGCGGGAGGCUACAGGGCGCCGGGCAGUUCGACGCGUGCCUCCUUGGUGAGCGGAGUGGCGCCUCUCCAUAGCCCGCCGCUCACCGCUCCGCACUUGUUCAUCUGACCGGCGCAAGUCGCCCGCGCCGUGAGUCCUGAACCGCGAUUGUGGAUUACACGCUGCAUUCCAGUGACCUGUUACCUUUCACGCCACAAGACAGCCCCGCAUCCGGCCAUAACUCAUCCUGCCGCUGUAGUAAAACUUUGCACCACAAACGAGCACAAAGUUUUGCAUCAUAGACUCAAUAAAGAUAUUGUUUCUUCGACGUUUACGUGACAUGAAAAUAAAAUCACCAGCGGCAAAAUUUAGGACAGUAGCUAACUUAUCGAUAACACACUGAUCGAGGUAAAAGAAACAAGUGACUUACAUACAGAAAAAUAGUUAUACAUUCAUCUCUAGUUAAAGUCUGGCAGUGGAUUGGAGGGUAUCGCUAGCCUCGGAUACACCUGGCGCACCUGAGUUGUAGCGGUGACUAAUUGCACACCUGUCACAAGGAACACCUGCUUGGGGAAAAUCAGUUUGAGAUUUCUUGAUUUGUGAGGGAGGCGGCGGGGCUUCUCAAGAGCUGCCGCCGCCAAGAGCCCGAGUGGGAGGCUGCGGGGCGCGGCAAGGCAAGUGUUUCAGUGACUUGCUACUACUCAGAGUCACGUCUGACUACUGUUUCGUGGCAAGCGAGAAGGAUUUUGUUAGUGGAUGUGUGUUCAGAGCGAGAUGAUGAAAAGUUCUCUGUGCGCGAUGUGUCAGUGUUGGUGAUGCCUGGGAAGCACCACACCGUGGGACUCUUCUGAGCCUCAGUCUUACUGCGGCGCAAAAAAAAUAUGGUCGUCCGCCAUCCUUGAGCGGAGCGUGUCAAUCCUCCAGUCCUGCGCUGCCCUCCACGAUCAUCUCACCCUCCUCCCUCGAUGCUCGAGUGACACCAUGAUCCCGAGCAUCACCGCCAAUCGCUCGGCCAGCUGGAAAAAGCACAUCCACAGUUUGUCUGGACUGCCCUCACCUGAGACUGGCCAGGACGACAGGGGCGUGAGUCUGGAUGAUACGCCCUUUCUCAUUGACGGAUCCACGCCAGAUCAGACGGACAUUGACUGGCAGCAGGCGAGAAGAGUGGCGGGACAACCCUCCCUUCCCUCCUGGUCUGUUGGGAAGCUUGGGAGCGUGGCCUCCAGUGAGGCGGAGGGAGGCGGGCGGUGGCUGUUCCAGACUGUGUCCAGGACAAGAGGAGAGGGGAGGGAGAGCUCCACCCUGGCCAGCGUGAGUAGCGGUCUGGCCACCUCUGAGCUGGACGAAGGUCACCACUCACACCACAUCCCCGGCGCUGCUGGCGGCGACAGUGAAGGAGAUGAUGGCUACGUUAUCAAGCUGUCGGGCGGCGCACACGAACAAGGCUCGCCAGCAUGGUGGCAGCAGACGCCCAACACCACCGAACUGCUGCUGCUGGACGGGCCGCAGAACGCCUCUGAGUGGCUCAACGACACUCUGAUGAGCUGGAAGAGUGAGAGUUCCCCGGCCCUCAACGUGUCCGUCACGUGCACCAACCUCUCCUUCAACGGGUCUGGCUGCCUGCAGGACGAGGCUCCUCCAUUUGAGGUGACGCCGGAGGGCCUCGCCCUGUGCCUGCUACUUCUCUUCUUUGCUGUGUCUACCAUCUUCGGCAACGGCCUGGUGAUCGUGGCCGUGGCCCGUGAGCGGUACCUGCACACCGUCACCAACUACUUCAUCAUGUCUCUGGCGGUGGCUGACUGCCUGGUGGGGGCGCUGGUCAUGCCCUUCAGUGCCCUCUACGACUCCUUUGAUUACUGGCCGUUCGGCCCAGACUUCUGUGACGUGUGGCGCAGCUUUGACGUGCUCGCCUCCACCGCCUCCAUCCUCAACCUGUGCGUUAUCUCCCUGGACCGCUACUGGGCCAUCACGGACCCCUUCAGCUACCCGACCCGCAUGUCGCCCAAGCGGGCGUGCAUGCUCAUCGCACUGGUGUGGGUGUGCUCUGCCCUCAUCUCUUUCCCUGCCAUCGCGUGGUGGCGGGCAGUGUCUGAGCCGCAUCCAGUGGGCGCCUGUCCCUUCACAGAGGACCUCUCCUACCUGGUGUUCUCCUCCACCAUCAGCUUCUACGGGCCGCUCUUCGUGAUGGUGUUUACUUAUUUUCGCAUCUAUCGCGCAGCGACGGAGCAGACUCGCUCCCUCAAGCUCGGCCAGAAGCUGGUGUCUUCCCUGGGUGAUGGGGAGAUGGAGCUAACUCUCCGCAUACACCGAGGGGGCGGCGGCAGCAGCUCUAACAGCACAGGCAACGGCGUGCACCGCACCCACUACGCGGCGGGCAAGACGUACAGCUGCUCUCAGGAGAACGGAGGCAUAAAUCACCCUCAAAACACAAGCCAGUCUCUGGAGGACAGUGAGGCGUGUCCGCUCGGAGCGUCCCUGCACGAGGGCACUUCUCCAGACAGCUCUACCAAAGUGGUGUCACGAAACCUGAAAAACUUCUCCAUUUCACGUAAACUGUGUAAAUUCGCGAAGGAGAAGAAAGCGGCAAAGACCUUGGGCAUUGUGAUGGGCGUGUUUAUUGUGUGCUGGCUGCCCUUCUUCGUCACCAACCUGCUCUCCGGCCUGUGCGGGGAGCGGUGCAUCAGGGAGCCCGCGCUGGUGGACGGCGUGGUCACCUGGCUGGGCUGGAUCAACUCCGCCAUGAACCCUGUGAUCUACGCCUGCUGGGCCAAGGACUUCAGGAGGGCGUUCACUCGCAUCCUGUGCUCCUGCUGCCCCCGCCGGUGCCGCAAGCGUUAUCAGACCAGAUGGAAGGGAGGCAUCGCGCAGUUUGACCCCUACGAGGACUUCUGACCCCCUCCCACCCCCCUGGUCCUCCUUCACCCUCCUCGCCUCGCCUCACCUUUUUCCACACCACUCUAAAAAUAUCGAUGUUAAUUCUCCUUUUUUGCCUCGCACAUAAUGACCUUCUAAAUUAGGUCUGAAUAUCUUGUCUCUUCUUCUUUUUUCUCUCUCUUCUUCUGAAUCCUUGGAAAACAUUUUGCAUUUCUUCAACGUGUUUGUCCCCUUUUCCAUGUACCCAUUAUUCUCACGUUUUCUUCUCUUCCCCCUAUUUUGCUUCCUUGUGUGUAUUGAUUCGACAUCUAAUGCGAAUGUAACCCUCAUUUUCUUCCCCCAAGAGUGAGUCUGGAUAAGUCUGUCGUCUUACCUGUCUUGAAUACCUGGCUUCAAUACCCGUCCUGAGUCACCUGUCUCCGCCACACUCACUUGUCUCACUCUCAUCUCACCUGCUCAUGUUAGGCAAGGAAUUGUCUCCUCUAAGGUCAUUGAGUGAAACGCUGCUGCUUAACCCCUUCAAUACUGACGCAUUUUCAUAUUCAUUUUGGUUAUUUUGGCGAUUUUGUACAGCUUCAAAAACUUAUGUGGGAAUCAGAAUACUGAAGACUGUGGCCAUUGAUUUUUGACAUCCAUAGACCCUUCCUAAUGUCAAUAAAAUCGUCUAAUCACACCCAAACAUCAUGGUAAAAAUGCGUCCCAGUAUUCAAGGGCUUAAUGAGUCUUCCUUGCGUGGCUGAAAACUUCCCAAACAAGGACACCGAGGGAUUAAUAUUUGUGCAAUAAAUUAUGGGAUUUUUACGUCCAAGCUGAUUUUUAAGAGUUUUUAAUCCAUAUAUUUUAGACAAGCGCUCAUAUCAUUAUUCUAAGAUCCAUUAUUUAUUCUAUAGUCAGUAAUUCAGUAGUUUACCUUUUUCAAUAAGCAUAAAUCCGUCUAAUUUGAUCUCUAAUCAAUUUUCUCUUUUAUUUUUCCACCAUUUUAUUUUUUCAACCAAAUCGAUCACAUUAUCUUAGCAUUGAUUAAUUGUUUUAAAGUAAGUAGUUUAUUUUUCCUCCUCAUUUACAUUGCAGUUUUAAGGUUUUGUUCAAUAUUUAGUAAAGCACUAGUGUCAUUACUUUACAAUUCGUUAUUUAUUUCGAGUCAGUCAUUUACCAUCAAUAUAAACCGAAACCUGCCUUUUCUUUUAUCUCCAUCGUCAUUUCUCUUCGUUUUGUCUCGUCCAUUACGCGCCUCUCCUCUUUCUAAUCAUGCAUCUUCAUUCUUUACACUCUUAUCUUCCCCCACCCUCCCCGCUCCCCAUUUGUCCUUCACGUCCCACGAUUUUCUUACAUUUCUCCCACGGAUCUUUUUUUUUUUCGACAUUUCACCCUGAUGGAUCUUUAUUCGCAUCCUUCAAUCGCUUCUUCCCUUCCUUUUAUUUCUUUUCCAUUCCUUACCAACUACCACCGGCACCAAUAUCCUUUUCCCUUCCCCUCUACCUCCUCUUCCUCUUCCUCUUCCUCUUCCUCCAUAUCAACGGGUGCUUCGCUUCAGCUUCCAUCGUGUGACACCUUUCCCUCCCCUCCCUGGUGACUGCUCCCUGGUGGUCCGCUUCCCUGGUGCCCUAAGGUGGCCGCCUGUGAUCAUCGUCACCCCGGUCGUAUCCACCCUCAGCACCUCCUUCAUCAAGAGCGCGGAGCCACGGCCCUGCGUCCCCUCAGCUCCCUACACCCCAGUGGCGCCAGCCCUCGCCUCCGCCUUAGUCGCUGCCACUUCAGG